rnacentral:lncRNA from 1 species
GAGACUGUGCUGUGAGGCAGGCGGUUGGAUGAAUUGUUGUGGUGGGAGGCCCUGCUGAGUAAGAGACGGGGGAGCUGCAGCAGAAGCUGGUGGCUGAGGCAGUGAUGCGGGUGGCUGAGCAGAGGGUUCAACAUGUGAAGAGUGUGUCUCGGGCUGCUGGUUUACCUUUGAUAAUUGGAGCUUUGAAAGCUGAAGCUGCGCUUCAACUAUUUCUUGUUUGUCCUUCAACAACUGUACACCGCUUUGCACCUGAAUGCAAUCAUACAAAGAAGGUACUGAGGAAUCUAGAAGCUUAAUAGAUGGUAUAUCGAAAAGUAUGAAAGCCCAGAUGCAUUAAAGACACUGAAAAAUAAAAACAUGAAACCAGAAACUUCUUUGAAGUUAAAAGAUCAAUAAUUCCUAGGCCAGACUAGAAAUGGCAUCCAACAGGCAAAGAAGAACGUUUGUCUAUUAUCUCAGAUUCAUUUAA